AUUCUGGCUGCGCGCUCGGGUCGAAUUUAAGCCGUGGGAGGACAGAUUAAGUUCUGUCUUUCCAGAUAACCUUGAACAAACAUUGACGCUCAAGAUAGGACUAAGGUCUAUUGAGAUUUCAGCAUGGGAUUAUGAAAGAUGGGAGGGGGGCAAGAGGGACGCGUAAAAACCGCCUGAAGGCCUCUUUCCAAUGGUUAAUGAGGACAAUGCGUGGAAGUUUAUAUUGGAACGUCAGAGGUGAAAUUCUUGGAUUGUUCCACGAUAAACAUCAGCGAAGGCGUUCUUCAAGUGUGUGCCUGUCGAUCAAGAACGAAAGUUGGGGGAUCGAAGACGAUCAGAUACCGUCGUAGUCUCAACUGUAAACGAUGCCGACUAUGAAUUGGAUAAAAUUUUAGGAAAGCGCGGGGAAACCCGCGCCUCUGAUGACUUCUCCAGCGCAUUACAAGAAAUUAAGAGUUUUUGGGUUCCGGGGGGAGUAUAGUCGCAAGGCCGAAACCUAAAGGAAUUGACGGAAGGGCACCACCAGGUGUGGAGCCUGCGGCUUAAUUUGACCCAACACGGGGAAACUUACCAGGUCCAGACAGCGUGAGGAUUGACAGAUUGAUAGCUCUUUCAUGAUUCGUUGGGUGGUGGUGCAUGGCCGUUCUUAGUUGGUGGUGUGAGUUGUCUGGUUGAUUCCGUUAACGAACGAGACCUUUGUUGAAUAAUAGGACACGUCAGUUUUUGCGUCAAGGGUGGCUGGUCCUUCCCGAGAUACGAGCAAUCGCCUUGGGAAAAGGCUGGUCACUUGCAUAGCUGGCGUGAGCUUCCUUCUAUUCGAGACAAAUACGAAAAACGUAUUGGAAGUUAUAGGCAAAAACAGGUCUGUGAUGCCCUUAGACGUUCUGGGCUGCACGCGCGCUACAAUGACAAUGUCAGCGAGUUUCAGCUUGGGCGAAAGCUCUGGCAAAUCUUGGAAACGUUGUCGUAAUAUGGAUUGUUGAUUGCAACUAUUCGACAUGAAACAGGAAUACCUAGUAGGUGCGCUUCAUCAGAGCGCUCCGAUUACGUCCCUGCCCUUUGUACACACCGCCCGUCGCUCCUACCGAUUGAAACAUACGGUGAAAAUCUCGGAGAGAGUAGUUCUCGGGGUCAAGUUCGCUUGGUCUCUCCUGCUUUCGAAGUUAUUUAA
rnacentral:rRNA from 1 species